GCCUAAUACAUGCAAGUCGAGCGGACCUGAUGGAGUGCUUGCUCUCCUGAUGGUUAGCGGCGGACGGGUGAGUAACACGUAGGCAACCUGCCCGUAAGACCGGGAUAACUACCGGAAACGGUAGCUAAUACCGGAUAAUCAAGUCUCUCGCAUGAGAGGCUUGGGAAAGGCGGAGCAAUCUGUCACUUACGGAUGGGCCUGCGGCGCAUUAGCUAGUUGGUGGGGUAACGGCUCACCAAGGCGACCAUGCGUAGCCGACCUGAGAGGGUGAACGGCCACACUGGGACUGAGACACGGCCCAGACUCCUACGGGAGGCAGCAGUAGGGAAUCUUCCGCAAUGGACGAAAGUCUGACGGAGCAACGCCGCGUGAGUGAUGAAGGUUUUCGGAUCGUAAAGCUCUGUUGCCAGGGAAGAACGUCUUCUGGAGUAACUGCYAGGAGAGUGACGGUACCUGAGAAGAAAGCCCCGGCUAACUACGUGCCAGCAGCCGCGGUAAUACGUAGGGGGCAAGCGUUGUCCGGAAUUAUUGGGCGUAAAGCGCGCGCAGGCGGCUGUUUAAGUCUGGUGUAUAAUCCUGGGGCUCAACUCCGGGUCGCACUGGAAACUGGACGGCUUGAGUGCAGAAGAGGAGAGUGGAAUUCCACGUGUAGCGGUGAAAUGCGUAGAGAUGUG
rnacentral:rRNA from 1 species